AUGUUCAAGCUGGUUUUCGAAAAGGCAGAGGAAUCAAGAGAUCAAAUUGCUAACAUACGCUGGAUCAUGGAAAAAGCAAGAGAGUUCCAGGAAAACAUCCAUUUCUGCUUUAUUGACUAUGCCAAAGCCUUUAACUGUGUGGAUCACAAUAAACUGUGGAAAAUUCUGAAAGAGAUGGGAAAACCAGACGACCUAACCUGCCUCUUGAGAAACCUAUAUGCAGGUCAGGAAGCAACAGUUAGAAGUGGACAUGGAACAACAGACUGGUUCCAAAUAGGAAAAGGAGUAGGUCAACGCUGUCUAUUGUCACCCUGCUUAUUUAACUUAUAUGCAGAGUACAUCAUGAGAAACGCUGGACUGGAAGAAACACAAGCUGGAAUCAAGAUUGCCUGGAGAAAUAUCAAUAACCUGAGAUCUGCAGAUGACACCAUCCUUAUGGCAGAAAGUGAAGAGGAACUAAAAAGCCUCUUGAUGAAAGUGAAAGAGGAGAGUGAAAAUGUUGGCUUAAAGCUCAACAUUCAGAAAACAAAGAUCAUGGCAUCUGGGCCCAUCACUUCAUGGGAAAUAGAUGGGGAAACAGUAGAAACAGUGUUAGACUUUAUUUUGGGGGGCUCCAAAAUCACUGCAGAUGGUGACUGCAGCCAUGAAAUUAAAAGACGCUUACUCCUUGGAAGAAAAGUUAUGACCAACCUAGAUAGCAUAUUCAAAAGCAGAGACAUUACUUUGCCAACUAAGGUCCAUCUACUCAAGGCUAUGGUUUUUCCUGUGGUCAUGUAUGGAUGUGAGAGUUGGACUGUGAAGAAGGCUGAGCGCCAAAGAAUUGAUGCUUUUGAACUGUGGUGUUGGAGAAGACUCUUGAGAGUCCCUUGGACUGCAAGGAGAUCCAAUCAGUCCAUUCUGAAGGAGAUCAACCCUGGGAUUUCUUUGGAAGGAAUGAUGCUAAAGCUGAAGCUCCAGUACUUUGGCCACCUCAUGCGAAGAGUUGACUCAUUGGAAAAGACUCUGAUGCUGGGAGAGAUUGGGGACAGGAGGAGAAGGGAACGACAGAGGAUGAGAUGGCUGGAUGGCACCACAGACUCGAUGGACGUGAGUCUGAGUGAACUCCAGGAGCUGGUGAUGGACAGGGAGGCCUGGUGUGCUGUGAUUCAUGGGGUGGCAAAGAGUCGGACACAACUGAGUGACUGA
rnacentral:lncRNA from 1 species